rnacentral:rRNA from 1 species
AGGACGAACGCUGGCGGCGUGCCUAACACAUGCAAGUCGAACGAGGUCCAACCGGUGGCAACACUGGUGAAGACCUAGUGGCGAACGGGUGAGUAACACGUUGGUACCUACCCCGAAGUGGGGAAUAACUGCCCGAAAGGGUGGCUAAUACCGCAUAAUACCGCAAGGUUAAAGCAGUAAUGCGCUUCGGGAGGGGCCUGCGUCCCAUUAGCUAGUUGGUAGGGUAAUGGCCUACCAAGGCGACGAUGGGUAGCUGGAUCGAGAGGUUGACCAGCCACACUGGGACUGAGAUACGGCCCAGACUCCUACGGGAGGCAGCAGUAAGGAAUCUUCCACAAUGGACGAAAGUCUGAUGGAGCAACGCCGCGUGCAGGAUGACGGCCUUCGGGUUGUAAACUGCUUUUAUAUGGAAGAUUAUGACGGUACCAUAUAGAAUAAGGACCGGUCUAACUACGUGCCAGCAGCCGC